AAAAAGGAAUGUGUAUCAAAAUGCUGAUUCUUACUACUGUCAGUAAAGGUUUUUGAAUCUUUCUUAAUAAAAUUACAUGCCUUACAUCUUCCACAUUUGUAAGUGCCUUUGAGAUUGUUUGAUAGCCAGUGUGUCGGUGCUGCUAUUCUCUGAAAAUGGCUAUGUACUAGAGAGUCUUUAAGAUUCUUGCCUCUCCUUGCUACCAGGGAUACAUGUG